AGAGUUUGAUCCUGGCUCAGAUUGAACGCUGGCGGCAUGCUUUACACAUGCAAGUCGAACGGCAGCGCGGGGCAACCUGGCGGCGAGUGGCGAACGGGUGAGUAAUAUAUCGGAACGUACCCAGAAGUGGGGGAUAACGUAGCGAAAGUUACGCUAAUACCGCAUACGAUCUACGGAUGAAAGUGGGGGACCUUCGGGCCUCAUGCUUUUGGAGCGGCCGAUAUCUGAUUAGCUAGUAGGUAGGGUAAUGGCCUACCUAGGCGACGAUCAGUAGCUGGUCUGAGAGGACGACCAGCCACACUGGAACUGAGACACGGUCCAGACUCCUACGGGAGGCAGCAGUGGGGAAUUUUGGACAAUGGGCGCAAGCCUGAUCCAGCAAUGCCGCGUGAGUGAAGAAGGCCUUCGGGUUGUAAAGCUCUUUUGUCAGGGAAGAAACGGUUGGGGCUAAUAUCCUCGGCUAAUGACGGUACCUGAAGAAUAAGCACCGGCUAACUACGUGCCAGCAGCCGCGGUAAUACGUAGGGUGCAAGCGUUAAUCGGAAUUACUGGGCGUAAAGCGUGCGCAGGCGGUUUUGUAAGUCUGUCGUGAAAGCCCCGGGCUCAACCUGGGAAUUGCGAUGGAGACUGCAAGGCUUGAAUCUGGCAGAGGGGGGUAGAAUUCCACGUGUAGCAGUGAAAUGCGUAGAGAUGUGGAGGAACACCGAUGGCGAAGGCAGCCCCCUGGGUCAAGAUUGACGCUCAUGCACGAAAGCGUGGGGAGCAAACAGGAUUAGAUACCCUGGUAGUCCACGCCCUAAACGAUGUCUACUAGUUGUCGGGUUUUAAUUAACUUGGUAACGCAGCUAACGCGUGAAGUAGACCGCCUGGGGAGUACGGUCGCAAGAUUAAAACUCAAAGGAAUUGACGGGGACCCGCACAAGCGGUGGAUGAUGUGGAUUAAUUCGAUGCAACGCGAAAAACCUUACCUACCCUUGACAUGGAAGGAAUCCUGGAGAGAUCCGGGAGUGCCCGAAAGGGAACCUUCACACAGGUGCUGCAUGGCUGUCGUCAGCUCGUGUCGUGAGAUGUUGGGUUAAGUCCCGCAACGAGCGCAACCCUUGUCAUUAGUUGCUACGCAAGAGCACUCUAAUGAGACUGCCGGUGACAAACCGGAGGAAGGUGGGGAUGACGUCAAGUCCUCAUGGCCCUUAUGGGUAG
rnacentral:rRNA from 1 species